GACAGAGGGUGCAAACGUUGUUCGGAAUUACUGGGCGUAAAGCGUGUGUAGGCGGUGUGGUAAGUCGGAUGUGAAAGCCCCGGGCUCAACCCGGGAAGUGCACUCGAUACUGCCACGCUAGAGUAUCGGAGAGGUUGGUGGAAUUCUCGGUGUAGAGGUGAAAUUCGUAGAUAUCGAGAGGAACACCGGUGGCGAAGGCGGCCAACUGGACGAAUACUGACGCUGAGACUCGAAAGCGUGGGGAGCAAACAGG
rnacentral:rRNA from 1 species